rnacentral:lncRNA from 1 species
UUUUUUUAUUUUUUUCAUUCAUUCAAAAAUUCAUAACUCAUUGAUUAAUGAUCCAAUUGACCUGGGAUUUUUUGCAUGUUGUUCCUCAUGAUGUCUAGUAUUUUAUGAGAUUUUUUUCCAGAAAUUGUGCACGGAUGGAAUUUGUUUUGGCUUAGGGAAUGUUCACAUGUGUGCUACCUUGUACCUUGCUUGCAAUUUGCUUUGUGAAAUGAUGAGAUUUAAUCCAAUGCUCUUGAAACUU